UUUCUUGGUAAGUAUGUAGGCUAUUUUUGUCCUAAGAGUCAUAUGUAGAACUAUACUUGUAUGUAUGGGAUUUGAAAUCGAUUAGUGCAACUAGUUCUAAAGGUAUAUCCAUUUUACGAGACUUACCAAGGAGGUAUUAAUACACAGAUAUUGGAUCAUGUUCGGCAGUAAGGUGGAUGUUAGAUUUUUGGUGUCAUAGGAAAAUGUUUCCCAAGAAAUACACGAGAUGCUUGAGAUAUUUUCAUCAGUAUUUGGUUUUGAUUAAAACAUUGUCACAUGAAUGUGGUGUUACGUGAGCCUUUUUCCAGUUUUACAUCUUUAUUUCUGUUUUACAAAAUUUUACCAUCCUCUCCAUCAAGCAUGCAUAGAAGGUGUUGGUCUAAAUGAUUUAACAAAAGCCUUCUCCAACUAGGGAUGUCUGGGAUUAGGACUUUCGAGAAACUGAGGUAUGCUCGGCAUGAUCCCCUCAUGGUCCUCAAAUCUGUUGCUCGGACUCAAGGAUUUCGUCAUUUUCUUCAAGUGUAUAUACAAAACAGAACUAGAUGGUGAAACAUGCCUUUGUUAAUAUCAGAACUAAUUUACUUAUAAGGAGAGAAUCAUAAACUAUGAAUGGAAUUGUUAACAAAACACCCAAAUCGGCUCUUACAUCUUCAUGUUAUUAGCUUGAUGCUAACAGGUACACUACAAAGCUAUUAGAUUUUUCAUGUCAUAGGUAAUAAUGUUUCCUAGGGAAUAGGGGAUGCUCGAUGUGAUUUUUUCAAUAUAAAGUUUUGAUAGUAACAUUGUUGUGUCAUCGUGUUAAGGUCUCGUGUAUGAGACAUUCUUGUUUUACAUCUUUAUUUCCAUUUUACAAGACUUACUACAACAAGUUACUAAUACAGAGAUAUCUAUCUUGUCUAGAAGUAAAAGCGAAUGUUAGAUUUUCCAUGUCAUGGGAAAUGAUUUCCUAGGAAAUUGGGGAUGCUUGAUGUAUUUUCUUCAGUAUAAAUGUUUGAUAACAACUUGGCUGUGCCAUUCCAUUAAGCUAUUUUUAUUUGAGCCUUUUGUGUUUUACGUCUUUAUUUUCAUUUUACAAAAAUUUCUCGUGUAUACAACUAAAAGUGGAUAUUAGACUUUUUAUGUCGUAGGAAAUAGUGUUUCCUUAGAAAUAGGAUAUGCUUGAUGUAUUUCUUCAAUAUAAAGUUUUUAAUAAUGUUGCUGUUGAUCAUUAAGGUGUCACACGUGAGCAUUUAUUGUUCUGCAUCUUUCUUUUUAUUUCACAAUACUCACUUCACUCCUACUAAUAAGAAGAUAUUGAGUAUGUGCUGAAGUACUAGUGGAUGGUGGAUCUUUCCUUUCAUAGGAAGUGAUGUUUCCUACGAAAAGGAGAUCAUUGAUGUAUUUUCUACAAAUAUUAGGUUUCAAUAACAACAUUGCUGUAUCACUGCAUUAAGGUUGCUUUUCUUGCUUUACAUUCCUAUUUCCAUUUCACAAAAAUAUCUGUUACCGGUACUAAUAUGGAGUUAUUGGUCAUGCAUUGAAGUACAACUUGAUAUUGGAUGUUUUCAAGUCACAGGGAAUGCUGUAUCCUACGAAAUAGGAUUGAUGUAUUUUGUCUUUUCUUGGAUGACGGUGGUGUCCGAGCGAGCUUGCGUGCACCUCAACUAUUCCAUCGGGUACCUUCUGCCUCCCACCAGCACAAUUUCCAGACUAUACAUGCUUGUUGGUCCUUAAAUUGCCCUUAAUAUGUACGGUGAGAUCCUUUUUAAUUUGUGAUGAUUGGGUUUAACAUGAUUCCCAACUAUCAUCUAAGCUUGGACGAGAAGUGGAUUAUGAGAACUUUAUAAGGUGCUUCCGGGGAGUUGAUUAAAUUCUUGCAGUACUAGUACUUGGGUAAGUCAGCAAGCACAACAGGAAUUGACAAGGUCGAAAGACAAAGAUGUAACAUAUAAGGCAAUGGCUUAAGGAAGAGAUAACCAUCAUUAUGUUUAUCUGCAGAAGAUAUGUUCUACACCACCCUACAAGUGAAGGACAAUUUCAUCAUUUGUUUGCUGAGAGAGGUGCUUCUGUAUUUAUAUAUGAGGCAUAUACUUGCAGGUUGAUGGAACAUGGUCUGUUGUCCCCUGUCAGUGUCAAGUCUCCGCCACCACUAAUCUCGAGCAAACCUGAGAGUUCCAAAGUGCCGCAGCAAGCAUCAAAGAAUGCUGAUGUGAAAUCAAAGAAACGAUUAAAAACUGAUUGCAAUUAGCAAUGAUGAUGAUUUCAUACUUGGUCCAAAGAGGAGAAAAGGGGGCGAGCAAGCUAAGGCUGCUGCACAUUACUAUGAUGCAUACAUGUUAAUCUUACGGUUCACGGUAGUCCUUACAUGUCUUUAAUACUCAAUGGUCUGGAUAGCUGCUGCUGCAUUCAGAUAAAGGGAACAUGGAUUUAUGAUGCAAAUGAGAACAUAUACCAUAAGCUGAAGUUAAGUUUGAUCUUGACAUUGUCUUGUUCAUGCGAUGGCAUGACCCAUGUUACUUGUUCUUGACAUAUAUAACAUUUUGUACCUUAGAUCAUUGGAUUCUCCAAUGAGGAUGGUUAAAGGGUAAGAACCUGACUCUUUUAAUGUUUUAUUGCAAGCAUUGAAAUUUUAUUGGUGCAUUUAUUUGAGGAGACAAGAAAACUAACUCCAUUGCACGUUAAAUAAAGCCAAAAACAUGAAGUUAGUUGUUGAUGGUGGGAAGAAGAGAUACUUGCUACAUCAGAAGGUAGAAAGGUUGAGAGUGUCAAUUGUUGACAAACGCGAUACAACAUAUUCUCAUUGUCUCAAAGUCAAGGUAAUAUCUUAUGGUGAUUGUAAUGUCCUUGAUUAUUGGUGACCACUACUUAGACUGAACAAAGUUAAAAGUAUUUGUUGGAUUAUUAUCUGGUAAAACAUCAAUGUCUAUAUGGUACGGUUGAUGGAGAUGUUGCAGUCAUAAGAGGAUACAAGUCAAGAGUGAGAGUUUAAUUUACUGCUCUUUUAUGUGAGUUGUCCUUGUCUUCUUCACUCUUCUUGUAAGCCUUUUUAUAUCUCUUUUCUUCUCUAAUGGCUUUCUUAUCAUAAGUAUUUUCGGUCCUUCACUGGAUAAUUAAUGAAUGCAGGUACUCUGAAGCCUGUGACCUUCUUCUGCUUUAGAUAUCUUUCUCUUACUUUUCUUUUUUCUUUUUUAUAACAAGUUGUGUCAGUAUGAUCUUGCGCGUACUUCGACUAUUCGUUAGGUAUUUGCUACAUUCCAUCAGCAUUUGCACCGAAUAACUCUAUC